rnacentral:rRNA from 1 species
CCCUUAGAUGUCCUGGGCCGCACGCGCGCUACACUGAACGGAUCAGCGCGUUUUCCCUUCCCGAGAGGGACGGGUAACCUGCUGAACCCCGUUCGUGGUAGGGAUCGGGGCUUGCAAUUAUUCCCCGUGAACCAGGAAUGCCCAGUAAGUGCAAGUCAUAAGCUUGCGUUGAUUACGUCCCUGCCCUUUGUACGCACCGCCCGUCGCUACUACCGAUUGAACGUUUUAGUGAGGUACUCGGACUGAGCCUCAGAAGAUUCACGUCUUUUGUGCUGCUCGGGAAGAUUCCCAAACUUGAGCGUUUAGAGGAAGUAAAAGUCGUAACA